rnacentral:tRNA from 1 species
GCUCAGUCGGUUAGAGCGCCGUGCUAAUAACGCGGAUGUCAUGGGUUCGAGCNCCAU